AUCCUACGGGGCGCAGCAGUGAGGAAUAUUGGUCAAUGGGCGGGAGCCUGAACCAGCCAAGUCGCGUGAGGGAAGACGGUCCUACGGAUUGUAAACCUCUUUUGCCGGGGAGCAACGGGGUCCUUGCGAGGGCCCGAUGAGAGUACCCGGAGAAAAAGCAUCGGCUAACUCCGUGCCAGCAGCCGCGGUAAUACGGAGGAUGCGAGCGUUAUCCGGAUUUAUUGGGUUUAAAGGGUGCGCAGGCGGUCUGUUAAGUCAGCGGUCAAAGCCCGGGGCUCAACCCCGGCCCGCCGUUGAAACUGGCA
rnacentral:rRNA from 1 species